CCCUUAGAUGUUCUGGGCUGCACGCGUGCUACAAUGGCGUUUCCAGCAAGUCUGCGAACCCGAGAGGGCCAGCGGAUCUUCGAAUUGGCGUCGUGAUCGGGACAGUCGAUUGCAAUUAUUUGACUCAAACGAGGAAUUCCUUGUGAUCGCGAUUCAUCAUAUCGCGCUGAAUACGUCCCUGCCCUUUGUACACACCGCCCGUCGCUCCUACCGAUUGAGCGAUCCGGUAAAUGUUUUGGAUUGGUGCCGGGGCGGCUAGCUGCCGGUCGCUACGAAAUUUUGUGAACCUUAUCGCUUAGAGGAAGGAAAAGUCGUAACA
rnacentral:rRNA from 1 species